rnacentral:rRNA from 1 species
CAAUAGCGUAUAUUAAAGUUGUUGCGGUUAAAAAGCUCGUAGUUGGAUUUCUGCCGAGGACGACCGGUCCGCCCUCUGGGUGAGUAUCUGGCUUGGCCUGGGCAUCUUCUUGGAGAACGUAGCUGCACUUGACUGUGUGGUGCGGUAUCCAGGACUUUUACUUUGAGGAAAUUAGAGUGUUUCAAGCAGGCAUGCGCCUUGAAUACAUUAGCAUGGAAUAAUAAUAUAGGAUCUGAUGCCUAUUUUGUUGGUUUCUAGGUGUUAGAUAAUGAUUAAUAGGGACAAUUGGGGGCAUUCGUAUUAUGGCGUCAGAGGUGGAAUUCUUGGAUUGCCAUACGACGAACUACUGCGAAAGCAUUUGCCAAGGAUGUUUUCAUUGAUCAAGAACGAAAGUAAGGGGAUCGAAGAUGAUCAGAUACCGU